rnacentral:rRNA from 1 species
AAGAUUAAACUGAAGAGUUUGAUCAUGGCUCAGAUUGAACGCUGGCGGCAGGCUUAACACAUGCAAGUCGAGCGGAAACGAUGGGAGCUUGCUCCC